rnacentral:rRNA from 1 species
GACGAACGCUGGCGGCGUGCUUAACACAUGCAAGUCGAGCGGUAAGGCCCUUUCGGGGGUACACGAGCGGCGAACGGGUGAGUAACACGUGGGUGACCUGCCCUCAGCUCUGGGAUAAGCCUGGGAAACCGGGUCUAAUACUGGAUAUGACUCCAUGACGCAUGUUGUGGGGUGGAAAGCCUUGUGCGGCUGAGGAUGGGCCCGCGGCCUAUCAGUUUGUUGGUGGGGUGAUGGCCUACCAAGGCGA